rnacentral:lncRNA from 1 species
GGAGGCAGAGAAGACAAAACUUCUUAUAGCUGCACAGAAACAAAAGGUUGUGGAGAAAGAAGCUGAGACAGAGAGGAAGAGAGCUGUUAUAGAAGCAGAGAAGAUUGCACAAGUGGCAAAAAUUCGAUUUCAACAGAAAGUGAUGGAGAAAGAAACUGAAAAACGCAUUUCUGAGAUUGAAGAUGCUGCGUUCCUGGCCCGAGAGAAGGCGAAGGCAGAUGCCGAGUAUUAUGCUGCGCACAAAUAUGCCACCUCAAACAAGCACAAAUUGACCCCAGAAUAUCUGGAACUCAAGAAGUACCAGGCCAUUGCUUCUAACACCUGCAUUUGCUGUGAGAUGUUCAGGAGGUAUUGUUCUCAAUUUUGGAUCUCCAGCCUCCAGAAUUUCAAGAGACUGCUCUUCGUCAUUAAUUACCCAGUUGACAGUGUUCU